GGAUAUAGUUUAAUGGUAAAAUACUGGUCUCCAAAACCGUAGAUGUUGGUUCGAUUCCUACUAUCCC
rnacentral:tRNA from 1 species